AAGGGGGCAGCAUUGGAGUAGCAAUACUUCAGAUGGCGACCGGCGCACGGGUGAGUAACACGUAUCCAACCCGUCGCUUACUCGGGGAUAGCCUUUCGAAAGAAAGAUUAAUACCCGAUGGUAUAAAGAGUUCGCAUGUUCUCUUUAUUAAAGAAUUUCGGUAAGCGAUGGGGAUGCGUUCCAUUAGAUAGUUGGCGGGGUAACGGCCCACCAAGUCUACGAUGGAUAGGGGUUCUGAGAGGAAGGUCCCCCACAUUGGAACUGAGACACGGUCCAAACUCCUACGGGAGGCAGCAGUGAGGAAUAUUGGUCAAUGGACGCGAGUCUGAACCAGCCAAGUAGCGUGAAGGAUGACUGCCCUAUGGGUUGUAAACUUCUUUUAUAAGGGAAUAAAGUGAGGGACGUGUCCCUUUUUGUAUGUACCUUAUGAAUAAGGAUCGGCUAACUCCGUGCCAGCAGCCGCGGUAAUACGGAGGAUCCAAGCGUUAUCCGGAUUUAUUGGGUUUAAAGGGAGCGUAGGUUGACAUAUAAGUCAGCUGUGAAAGUUUACGGCUCAACCGUGAAAUUGCAGUUGAUACUGUAUGUCUUGAGUGUACAAGAGGUGGGCGGAAUUCGUGGUGUAGCGGUGAAAUGCUUAGAUAUCACGAAGAACUCCGAUUG
rnacentral:rRNA from 1 species